AAUAGCACCCCCUGGCAGUCAACAAAGUAAAAACCCUAAAAUAUUUUUUAAAAUACAGCUGAGGGGGGCUUUUUCAGCACAAAAAAUGUGCUGAAAAACUCGACUUAUACACGAGUAUAUAUGGUAUGCCUUUUCUCUGUUGAGGUUGUGACAAGGACUGUUUUAGAGGCGGUAUUUUCUCCCGAAUGUAAGCUGGGAUGGGAGCCAGGAUUGAGGGCAAAGUGCUGGGCAGCUUUCCUGUGAAAAACAAUUCUGGCCGGACUCCUUGCCCCCUAAUGAGGCCUCAACGUGGAGGGCUGCCACUACUCCCUGGCCACCAGCACUUUCCCCACCCGGCCCACGGGGGGCAGAGAAGGGCACUUCCUUUUCUGUUACCUCUGAGAGCCAGAAACCCAGCAGGGCUGGAGCUGUGUUGGAAGACAUCUGGGCAACGAGGAGAGAAGCAUCAUGAGGGGCUCAGCUCCUUGGUGCUGGGGGCCCAGCGGUAGUGGAGGCUGCCACUCAGCAACAUCGGCCGCCUCAGGCCAUCAUUUCACCGGGCCUCUGUGUAUGAGCCUCAUCAGCCUUGCCUCCUCCGUCAUCUUGUGCAAAUUGACACCCUGACCGAUGAUGAGCCUCAUCAGCCUUGCCUCCUCCGUCAUCUUGUGCAAAUUGACACCCUGACAUAAUCCCCUUCCAGGAAAUCCUCUCGGCAUGUUGGGCUUUUGAUCUCAGCGACCGGCCCAGCUUCACCCUCCUGAUGGAAAUGCUUGAAAAACUGCCAAAGCUCAACCGGAGACUCUCUCACCCAGGACACUUCUGGAAGUCGGCCGACAGCAACAGUAGCAAAGUUGUCAUCCGAUUCGAACGGUAUGGUUUGGGAGAUCUGGAAUCGAGCAAUCAAAAGAUUUAGUCCAUUUUCCAUUAUGAUCUUUUUCACACUUUCUGCCUGCAUCACCUGAAAGUUUUUAUUUGCAAAUCUUCACGGCAUCUUCCCAAACAACAGAAGGGGUCUUGCAAGGCAUCCCCCCCCCGCCCACCCAGGGGGGACACCCAGAGAUAUUUCAUUCAGACUGUUAUGUUUGCUUACGAUGUCUCAAGUUCUGUUGCAGCGUCAGCAACUGUACUUUAAAAAUGUUUACAUUCUGAUUUCUUCCUGUGUGAAUUUUAAUGGUUAAUUAUAAAUGUGACAUAAAGCUUUUUUUAUUAAAAAAAACCUGUUCUGGCAAAUGUUCGUGUAGCACUGUAAACGCAAACUGUUUUGAUGAGUUACCUGAGGCUCUUAAUUUUUGCCCGGUUAGCGCCUGCAGUGGUGCACAUGCGCAUCCCCCCAUAAGAUACAUUCUCCACCCCUAGUAUGAACUAUAAAAUGAACGGGAUGAACUGCUCUUGGUUUUGUUCUCUUGCAAUCGCCUGUUGCUAGCAUUUCAAAAUCUCCCAUGGCUAGACGCCGGAGCUCCAGUUUGCAGAACUGCAUUGCAUUUCCCAACCUUUCCUGUCUGAAAGUCAGGGCAGAUCUGCAGAGUUUGAAUGUGGUUUCAUUUUUUUGUGUGUGGCUCGAAGCCCUGAAGAAUUCGUAACUCAGAGGUUGUUGGAAGUGAGAUUAUUCAGCUGGAACCUGUGUCUGUUGUGUGGGCCUAAACAUUGAAUGUACACUUUGGCGUAGAAAUCAGCAUUUGGGCUACUAAUUUUUAAAGCAAGUUUCUAGCUCUCAUAAUCCUUUGGAGGAAAAACGGCUGCAUGGGUUUUCAGGCUAAGGGCAGAUUCUCAGCCAGUGGUGGCAAACCUUUGGCACUCCAGAUAUUAUGGAC